AUUGAACGCUGGCGGCAGGCCUAACACAUGCAAGUCGGGCGAGUGGCGGACGGGUGAGUAAUGUAUGGGGAACUGCCUGAUGGCGGGGGAUAACUACUGGAAACGGUAGCUAAUACCGCAUACCAUCAGAUGAACCCAGAUGGGAUUAGCUUGUAGGUGGGGUAACGGCUCACCUAGGCGACGAUCCCUAGCUGGUCUGAGAGGAUGACCAGCAACACGGGGACUGAUACAGGGCCCAGACGCCGAGGGGAGGCAGCAGUGGGGAAUAUUGCACAAUGGGCGCAAGCCUGAUGCAGCCAUGCCGCGUGUAUGAAGAAGGCCUUCGGGUUGUAAAGUACUUUCAGGUGGGAGGCGUUACCGACAGAAGAAGCACCGGCUAACUCCGUGCCAGCAGCCGCGGUAAUAC
rnacentral:rRNA from 1 species